UACGGGGGGGGCAAGCGUUGUUCGGAAUUACUGGGCGUAAAGGGCGCGUAGGCGGCCUGCUAAGUCGGACGUGAAAUCCCUCGGCUCAACCGGGGAACUGCGUCCGAUACUGGCGAGGCUUGAAUCCGGGAGAGGGAUGUGGAAUUCCUGGUGUAGCGGUGAAAUGCGCAGAUAUCAGGAGGAACACCCGAUGGCGAAAGGCAGCCCCCC
rnacentral:rRNA from 1 species